rnacentral:rRNA from 1 species
UUAAGCGACUAAGCGUACACGGUGGAUGCCCUGGCAGUCAGAGGCGAUGAAGGACGUGCUAAUCUGCGAAAAGCGUCGGUAAGGUGAUAUGAACCGUUAUAACCGGCGAUGUCCGAAUGGGGAAACCCAGUGCAAUUCGUUGCACUAUCGUUAACUGAAUACAUAGGUUAACGAGGCGAACCGGGGGAACUGAAACAUCUAAGUACCCCGAGGAAAAGAAAUCAACCGAGAUUCCCCCAGUAGCGGCGAGCGAACGGGGAGCAGCCCAGAGUCUGAAUCAGCUUGUGUGUUAGUGGAACGGUCUGGAAAGUCCGACGGUACAGGGUGAUAGUCCCGUACACCAAAAUGCACAGGCUGUGAACUCGAAGAGUAGGGCGGGACACGUGGUAUCCUGUCUGAAUAUGGGGGGACCAUCCUCCAAGGCUAAAUACUCCUGACUGACCGAUAGUGAACCAGUACCGUGAGGGAAAGGCGAAAAGAACCCCGGCGAGGGGAGUGAAAAAGAACCUGAAACCGUGUACGUACAAGCAGUGGGAGCACCUUCGGGUGUGACUGCGUACCUUUGUAUAAUGGGUCAGCGACUUAUAUUCUGUAGCAAGGUUAACCGUAUAGGGAGCCGCAGGAAACCGAGUCUUAACUGGGCGUUAAGUUGCAGGGUAUAGACCCGAAACCCGGUGAUCUAGCCAUGGGCAGGUUGAAGGUUGGGUAACACUAACUGGAGGACCGAACCGACUAAUGUUGAAAAAUUAGCGGAUGACUUGUGGCUGGGGGUGAAAGGCCAAUCAAACCGGGAGAUAGCUGGUUCUCCCCGAAAGCUAUUUAGGUAGCGCCUCGUGAACUCAUCUUCGGGGGUAGAGCACUGUUUCGGCUAGGGGGUCAUCCCGACUUACCAACCCGAUGCAAACUACGAAUACCGAAGAAUGUUAUCACGGGAGACACACGGCGGGUGCUAACGUCCGUCGUGAAGAGGGAAACAACCCAGACCGCCAGCUAAGGUCCCAAAGUCAUGGUUAAGUGGGAAACGAUGUGGGAAGGCACAGACAGCCAGGAUGUUGGCUUAGAAGCAGCCAUCAUUUAAAGAAAGCGUAAUAGCUCACUGGUCGAGUCGGCCUGCGCGGAAGAUGUAACGGGGCUAAACCAUGCACCGAAGCUGCGGCAGCGACACUAUGUGUUGUUGGGUAGGGGAGCGUUCUGUAAGCCUGCGAAGGUGUGCUGUGAGGCAUGCUGGAGGUAUCAGAAGUGCGAAUGCUGACAUAAGUAACGAUAAAGCGGGUGAAAAGCCCGCUCGCCGGAAGACCAAGGGUUCCUGUCCAACGUUAAUCGGGGCAGGGUGAGUCGACCCCUAAGGCGAGGCCGAAAGGCGUAGUCGAUGGGAAACAGGUUAAUAUUCCUGUACUUGGUGUUACUGCGAAGGGGGGACGGAGAAGGCUAUGUUAGCCGGGCGACGGUUGUCCCGGUUUAAGCAUGUAGGCUGAUUGUCCAGGCAAAUCCGGAUAAUCAAGGCUGAGGUGUGAUGACGAGGCACUACGGUGCUGAAGUAACAAAUGCCCUGCUUCCAGGAAAAGCCUCUAAGCAUCAGGUAACAUCAAAUCGUACCCCAAACCGACACAGGUGGUCAGGUAGAGAAUACCAAGGCGCUUGAGAGAACUCGGGUGAAGGAACUAGGCAAAAUGGUGCCGUAACUUCGGGAGAAGGCACGCUGGUGUGUAGGUGAAGUCCCUGCGGAUGGAGCUGAGACCAGUCGAAGAUACCAGCUGGCUGCAACUGUUUAUUAAAAAACACAGCACUGUGCAAACACGAAAGUGGACGUAUACGGUGUGACGCCUGCCCGGUGCCGGAAGGUUAAUUGAUGGGGUUAUCCGUAAGGAGAAGCUCUUGAUCGAAGCCCCGGUAAACGGCGGCCGUAACUAUAACGGUCCUAAGGUAGCGAAAUUCCUUGUCGGGUAAGUUCCGACCUGCACGAAUGGCGUAAUGAUGGCCAGGCUGUCUCCACCCGAGACUCAGUGAAAUUGAACUCGCUGUGAAGAUGCAGUGUACCCGCGGCAAGACGGAAAGACCCCGUGAACCUUUACUAUAGCUUGACACUGAACAUUGAGCCUUGAUGUGUAGGAUAGGUGGGAGGCUUUGAAGCGUGGACGCCAGUCUGCGUGGAGCCAACCUUGAAAUACCACCCUUUAAUGUUUGAUGUUCUAACGUUGGCCCCUGACCGGGGUUGCGGACAGUGUCUGGUGGGUAGUUUGACUGGGGCGGUCUCCUCCCAAAGCGUAACGGAGGAGCACGAAGGUUAGCUAAUCCUUGGUCGGACAUCAGGAGGUUAGUGCAAUGGCAUAAGCUAGCUUGACUGCGAGCGUGACGGCGCGAGCAGGUGCGAAAGCAGGUCAUAGUGAUCCGGUGGUUCUGAAUGGAAGGGCCAUCGCUCAACGGAUAAAAGGUACUCCGGGGAUAACAGGCUGAUACCGCCCAAGAGUUCAUAUCGACGGCGGUGUUUGGCACCUCGAUGUCGGCUCAUCACAUCCUGGGGCUGAAGUAGGUCCCAAGGGUAUGGCUGUUCGCCAUUUAAAGUGGUACGCGAGCUGGGUUUAGAACGUCGUGAGACAGUUCGGUCCCUAUCGCCGUGGGCGCUGGAGAAUUGAGGGGCUGCUCCUAGAGAGGACCGGAGUGGACGCAUCACUGGUGUUCGGGUUGUCAUGCCAAUGGCACUGCCCGGUAGCUAAAUGCGGAAGAGAUAAGUGCUGAAAGCAUCUAAGCACGAAACUUGCCCCGAGAUGAGUUCUCCCUGAGACUUUAAGUCUCCUGAAGGAACGUUAAAGACGAUGACGUUGAUAGGCCGGGUGUGUAAGCGCAGCGAUGCGUUGAGCUAACCGGUACUAAUGAACCGUGAGGCUUAACCU